UUAUUGAUGAACCAUCCCUUUUUCAGCAUUCUCUGGUGAACUGCAGCUGCGGCCAAAUUUGAUUGUGUGAAUCAUCCUGCAGAUAUUUUUAAAUUUUGUGAACGAUUCUGCUGUGCUGCUUUCCUGCUCCGCCUGUGUAUGUCUCCGCCCGUGUUUUAUAGUGUUGCGUUCCUGUUGCGCCUUCGUGCGCGUUAUACUUUAGACACGUUGAAUUUUUUCGUAUGCUUCUGCUGUGCUGCGUUCCUGUUAAUA